CAGCGUUUCAUCUCCAAGCAAACUCACAGGCGUCUUUAGAGCUUUCUAAGGCACUCAGUUAUUUGCUCCUCAAAACAGUCGCGGAGAGAGAAGAGGCAGAAAUCACUGUCACCUGAAGCAAAUGCCUCAGGUCUCCACGGUUCGCCUGUAUUCUGCCGUCCCAUCGGCGAUGAUUGCAUCCAGGGGAUAGCGCUUCUUGCGGAUGCUGCGUCCAGAGGAGAUGAGGUCGGCGUAGCCACGCUGGUGGGAGAAAGCGUAGGCCGAGCGCCGCGUGGACACACCCCUGCGGAACACAUUCUGCCGCCGCUUCCACUGCUCUUCGGCUUUUAACCGCUUUCGGUGCUUCUGAAUCUACGAAAGCGGGAGAGAUGGGAAAAUACCAACCUGUAAAUUGAAAUGCAGAUGGCAAGAGAACAUGUAUUCCGGCACUAUGAAAGUCAAACAUGACGCCAAAAUAAAUUGCAAUGCUUCCAAAAAUUGAAAAGGCAUUCACAAAAGUCCAAUAAGAAGU